UACGUAGGGUGCAGGCGUUAAUCGGAAUUACUGGGCGUAAAGCGUGCGCAGGCGGUUUGCUAAGAGAGAUGUGAAAUCCCCGCGCUUAACCUGGGAACUGCGUUUCUAACUGGCAGGCUAGAGUGUGGCAGAGGGGGGUGGAAUUCCACGUGUAGCAGUGAAAUGCGUAGAGAUGUGGAGGAACACCGAUGGCGAAGGCAGCCCCCUGGGCUAACACUGACGCUCAUGCACGAAAGCGUGGGGAGCAAACAGG
rnacentral:rRNA from 1 species